rnacentral:tRNA from 1 species
AAAAUUCGUUGGCUUUAUAAACCGUGAGGGUUCAAGU